AAAUCAUAUGUUGCGAUGAUUUGAUAUGUUUGUGGACUCUGCCGGCCUCAGCACUUGUAAAAACAAUAUUCCUUUAACCUAGAUGGUGGCUGAAGCUCUGACAUCUCCAUGUAAACACCUAAAUGCCAAGUCUGGACUUCAAAAACAGAUUCUGAAAGUUUAACCAGCAUUAUGGACAAAAAGUAUACACUUCGAACAGACACAAAAACAUAUAGGUCCAUGCCAAGCUAUGAAAGAUUUAUACUGAGGAUAAAAGGGAAUUGCAGAAGAAUAGAUUGAUGUUAAAAACAAUUCAACAUUAAAUUUGGCUUAGAUUUGAA